GGGCUAGUAGCGUAGGGGUUAUCGCGUUCGCUUUGCAUCUGGUCCACGUCUAUAUCUUGCGAAAGGUCUCCGGUUCAAAUCCGGACUAGUCCA